UACGGGGGGGGCAAGCGUUGUUCGGAAUUACUGGGCGUAAAGGGCUCGUAGGCGGCCAACUAAGUCGGAUGUGAAAUCCCCAGGCUUAACCUGGGAACUGCAUCCGAUACUGGAUGGCUUGAAUUCGGGAGAGGGAUGCAGAAUUCCAGGUGUAGCGGUGAAAUGCGUAGAUAUCAGGAGGAACACCGGUGGCGAAGGCGGGUUUCUGGGCCAAAACUGACGCUGAGGAGCGAAAGCGUGGGGAGCGAACAGG
rnacentral:rRNA from 1 species